GAACUGAAGAGUUUGAUCAUGGCUCAGAUUGAACGCUGGCGGCAGGCCUAACACAUGCAAGUCGAGCGGAUGACGGGAGCUUGCUCCUUGAUUCAGCGGCGGACGGGUGAGUAAUGCCUAGGAAUCUGCCUGGUAGUGGGGGACAACGUUUCGAAAGGAACGCUAAUACCGCAUACGUCCUACGGGAGAAAGCAGGGGACCUUCGGGCCUUGCGCUAUCAGAUGAGCCUAGGUCGGAUUAGCUUGUUGGUGAGGUAAUGGCUCACCAAGGCGACGAUCCGUAACUGGUCUGAGAGGAUGAUCAGUCACACUGGAACUGAGACACGGUCCAGACUCCUACGGGAGGCAGCAGUGGGGAAUAUUGGACAAUGGGCGAAAGCCUGAUCCAGCCAUGCCGCGUGUGUGAAGAAGG
rnacentral:rRNA from 1 species